GAGGAAGAGGAGGAGGAGGAGGAAGAGGCGCAGCUAACGCUGGUGCUGCCUCCGCCCAAGACAGACAGACAGGACUCUGCUGAGCUGUCUGUCCAGCAGAGGGUCUUCAACAUCGCCAACGAGCUGCUGCACACAGAGAUCGCCUACGUCUCUAAGCUCCACCUGCUGGACCAGGUUUUCUGUGCCCGGCUCCUGGAGGAGGCGCGCUCUCGCUCCUCCUUCCCGUGCGACGUGGUCCAGGGAAUCUUCUC